AACAAAAGAAACACGACACUCUUCCAAGUGAAUGGCUAGAUGAGCUAGCUCAUGCACAAUUUUAUUUUGCUCUCUCCUGAUCUUGGCAAAAUGUAGACUAUGCAACUUCUGCUAUCCAGCCAAAUAUCAAGGAUGACUGGUGCAAUCAGAGACAUGAAAAUACUAGGUGCUCCCAGUUUAUCAAUAAUUGUCGAGCAAUAGGAUUAUAUCC
rnacentral:lncRNA from 1 species